rnacentral:rRNA from 1 species
GUAGGUGGCAAGCGUUGUCCGGAAUUAUUGGGCGUAAAGCGCGCGCAGGCGGUUCUUUAAGUCUGAUGUGAAAGCCCACGGCUCAACCGUGGAGGGUCAUUGGAAACUGAAGAACUUGAGUACAGAAGAGGAAAGCGGAAUUCCACGUGUAGCGGUGAAAUGCGUAGAGAUGUGGAGGAACACCAGUGGCGAAGGCGGCUUUCUGGUCUGUAACUGACGCUGAGGCGCGAAAGCGUGGGGAGCAAACAGGGAUUAGAUACCCUGGUAGUCCACGCCGUAAACGAUGAGUGCUAAGUGUUAGGGGGGUUUUCCGGCCCCCUUAGUGCUGCAGCUAACGCAUUAAGCACUCCGCCUGGGGAGUACGGCCGCAAGGCUG